AUGAUUUGGCAGCACAUAUGCUAAAAUUGGAACAAUGCAGAGAAGAUUAGUGUGGCUCCUGUGCAAGGCUGACACACAAAUUGGUGAAUCAUUCCAUAUAAAA